rnacentral:rRNA from 1 species
UACGUAGGGUGCAAGCGUUGUCCGGAAUUAUUGGGCGUAAAGAGCUCGUAGGCGGUCUGUCGCGUCGGCUGUGAAAACCCGGAGCUCAACUCCGGGCCUGCAGUCGAUACGGGCAGACUGGAGUUCGGCAGGGGAGACUGGAAUUCCUGGUGUAGCGGUGAAAUGCGCAGAUAUCAGGAGGAACACCGGUGGCGAAGGCGGGUCUCUGGGCCAUAACUGACGCUGAGGAGCGAAAGCGUGGGGAGCGAACAGG